CUUCUUCUCAAACUAAAGUUAAAGAAUUUAAUAACUUCUAGGGGUCAGAUGUAAAGAAAGUACAAUCCUUAUUUCUUAUACCUGAUGUCAUAAAAUAAAUCCUACACAGCAAUUUUGCCUUAGCUUUGUUACACUUCUGAAGAGGGACUACUUUCAACUCUAUCAACUAUUCAGAGAGAUCACUGCUUCUCCUGUUUACUUCUCCAUGGCAGCACUGUGACUUACUCAGGCACAAAAUUCCUAUCCAUUUUGGUCUCUUUUAAAGGAAAGAGAAUAUAUGAAAGGGUUAGUGACACUUGUAAGGGCUGUGAAAAAGGGUGUCACUAAAUGUUAAAGAUUUUAAACUACCUAUUUAAUAAUGGAGACA
rnacentral:lncRNA from 1 species